rnacentral:rRNA from 1 species
ACGUGAAAUUGUUGAAAGGGAAGCGUUUAUGGCCAGACUUGGGCUUGGUUAAUCAUCUGGGGUUCUCCCCAGUGCACUUUUCCAGUCCAGGCCAGCAUCAGUUUUCCCCGGGGGAUAAAGACUUCGGGAAUGUGGCACUCUUCGGGGUGUGUUAUAGCCCGUUUUGUAAUACCCUGGGGGGGUCUGAGGUUCGCGCAUCUGCAUGGAUGCUGGCGUAAUUGUUAUAAACGACCCGUCUUGAAACACGG